UGAUUCACUUUCAGGAAAUAGAAUACAAAAGAAGUAAUGAGAUGUCAUUUUUAAUUUAGGUUAUAAGAAGACUAUGGCUUCUAUCUUGUGUGUGCUCUCUCACUCUCUUUCCCUUGACUCACUGGUCUGGGUAGAAGCCAGCUUCCAUACUAAGAGGGAGGCUUGAGAGGGAUGACCCCUACCAUGUCAUGAGGAUAAUAGAGUAGCCGAAGGAAAUCCUCCCAUGGUGAGCAACUGAGCUUGGAAAUUGAAAUUCUGAGGCUUGUCAUCAGCUACUUGAUCGAGUUUAGAAGCAUAACCUCCUCCAGUUCAGCCUUGAAAUAAUUGCAGCCCUGGCUGACAGCUUGACUGCAACCUCAUGACAGACUAGACCUGAACCACCCAGUUAAGCUAUUCCCACAUUCUCCAAUCACAGAAACUAUGAAACAGUUAAUUACAACAAUGUAUAUAGUUUCAGACUGCUAAAUUUCAGGUAAUUUGUUACACAGCAAUAGAUAAUGAAUACAUAUAGUUUUGUUAACUAUUGCUAAAUCUUCUAUAUAGGGGCUAUACCAUUUUUCUGUCCCAUGAGUAAUAUAUGAGAAUUCCAGGUUCCCAUGACUUUACUAAUAACACUGUGUAUUUCCAAACUAAGGAUACUUUUUUUUUAACAAGGUAAUAGAUGAGAAAUAGUAUCUUACUGUGGCUGUAAUUUUUCUUUCAUUAUAGGAGAGGACUCCUUUCCACCUUCUUUUUUAAUUAAAUAUUAAAAUAAGGACAGCUUCCCAUCAUGCUUAGGAUAAACAGCUAACAUUUUCACAAUUUCUACAUGGCUCUGCACAAUCUGAUCCCUUCCCAUAUCAAUUUCCACUGGUAUCACUGCUUUAGGAUUCUGAAUUAAUCAUUACUAUACCCUUAGUGCAUAACACAGUGAGUGACUACAGUGUCUUACGCACAAGACAUGCAAUAAAGAUUGAUGUAACUGUGGAAGUUUAAAUUGGAGUGCUGCUGGUUGCCCAUUUCUUACCCUCUUCUUUGUCUUGACCAAAUGUUAGGCCUUUUUCCUCCCCUCAUACUCCUAAAUUUUGGCUUGACCCCAAGUUUAAACAUACACUAAAGGGUAAGGAUAUGUGGAACAUCCUUCUUCAGCAGCUUAUUCUCAGAAUCCGAAGACCCUAGAAACAUUUCCUGUUAAAGUACCCUGGUUUUGCCACUUGCACACCUCCACCUCUUCAAAGUUCCUGCUAACCCUUCUUACACCUCCCUAUUAAAGAAAAGCCUUUUCCUGUUUGAUUUUGUGAGGUGCUUGCAGAUUUCUGAGAUUGGUACAUUUUCCCUAUUGCAAUAAUCUUUCUGAAUAAAAUCUCUUCAUAUCUAAAUCCAGACAUGUUUUUAUUUGACAUGGGAAACAAAACUGCUAAUGUAAAAUUGCGGCUCAUUUAAUUACACACAAGCCAGAAAUCAUGGCUCUUGUGAAAUCUAUGAUGAUUCAAAAUUGUAUCUAUUUAUGUACAGGAAACAUCAGUUUGUUAGUAUGCCUUUUUUUAAGUAAAAAAGCUUGAUGUAAGGUAAAGGCUAUGAUAAGUGUUUCGUUGGGUUUUGUUUUGUUUUUUUUUUUAAUCAAGUGAUUUUUUUCCCCUGAAGUCUAACCUCCUCACUCUCUUCCUCUCUUUUCUUUCCUUCUGUUGUUUUAGCCUCCUCCUACUCGGUCUCAGUCUCCCUCUGAGUCUCCCGUGUUGUGUCCGCUUUCCCACUUCUGUUCCUGUGCUUCCAUUUUUAACGCUUAAGUUUCCCAUCUCUCUGUCUCCACAAGAUUCUCCUUUGCCCCCAUUAUUCUUGUUUCCUCCUAGUCUCUGAUUCUCAUCUCCUCUUCCCUCUCACUUUAUUUUCUUCAGUCGGCCUCUGCAACUUGUUACUGCAGUAGUAGUAGUUUCUCCUAGAGAAUUCCAUAAAAUCGUUUUUAGCGUAAAGUUCAUUAUUUCUGUGUGUCCUCUUUCUCUGCUCCUCAGUGAACUCUUCCAUCACUCUGGCCCCUUUUUCCCACAGUGGAAUCUCCAUUCCCCGUUUUCACCCCUCUCAGCAAGUAGAAUCUCCCGGUAGAGGGCUGUGCCAUUUACAAACACUUUUAGGUAAAGUCGCCAAUGAGGAUAUUUUACUGUUCCAAAUUCUUCCUCUUCCACCAAAUGAAGCUUUCUAAUAGAGGACAUUCACUCAAACUUCUUACCCAGCCCUCCUAUAAAAUCUCUCUGCAAAAUUUUGCAUGUUACUGGUUUGUAUAAUUCUCCUUUAUGUCAUCUUUUCCCCCUCCCCUCGCUGCCGCGGUGGUACAGCCCAGCCUCCGAAUAAACCGAAUUCCUCUGCUUGUACGGAACUGGCCGGCCUCUCAAGAUGGCGGCUCCUACUGAGACACAACGCAUGGGAGCGGCCAUAUUGCCUCCUGAACAAAGCCGCCCAGAGUGCGGAGUGGGCAAAGCUGCCCGGUACCGAACAGCGCAGGCCCGGGAGACCAGUGCUUUGCUCACCCAGACAGGAAGCGGGAGAGUUCGCCGCUAUGGAUGUGACAGCUGUCCCGGGUUAAGCCGUGACGGGCGUUUCUAGAUCUGAUAACGGAACUGCAGGUCAGAAGGCGGACAUGUGUGGUGAUGAAUCUAUUUUGACAAAGCCUGGAAUACCCCAUAUAAAACAGUCUGUCUAUCAUGGGAGCACCCACUUCCUCUGAACGAGUUAAGUCUUACCUACCUGACUCCUUCUGGGACUGAGAAGGAUUUCCCAGGUUGGCCUAACAUCUACCUGACUUCUGUGGUAGCUGUUUCUAGACUGGUGAAUGUGGAAGCUGCAGUCUGCGUCUGAUCUAUGAAAACGUCCUUCUGAUACCAAUUUUGCCUUUUCAGGCAUCUAUCUUUUUAGAAGAGAGCAGAAAAUGAUGAAGUCCCAGGGCUUCCCUGGUGGCGCAAUGGUUAAGAACCUGUCUGCCAAUGCAGGGGACACGGGUUUGAGCCCUGGUCCGGGAAGAUCCCACAUGCCGCGGAGCACCAAAGCCCAUGUGCCACAACUACUGAGCCUGCACCCUAGAGCCUGCGAGCCACAACUGCUGAGCCCACGUGCCAUAACUACUGAAGUCUGUGACCCCUAGAGCCCAUGCUCCACAACAAGAGAAGCCACCGCGAUGAGGAGCCCACGCACCGCAAGGAAGAGUAGCCCCCGCUCCCAGUAACUAGAGAAAGCCUACGUGCAGCAACAAAGACACAACGCAGACAAAAAUAAAUAAAUUAAUAAAUUAAUUUAAAAAUAUUAUUAAUAAAAAUCUUCC